rnacentral:tRNA from 2 species
CGCGGGGUAGAGCAGCCCGGUAGCUCGUCAGGCUCAUAACCUGAAGGUCGUAGGUUCAAAUCCUACUCCCGCAACCA